rnacentral:rRNA from 1 species
AAGUCGAACGAUGAUGCCCAGCUUGCUGGGUGGAUUAGUGGCGAACGGGUGAGUAACACGUGAGUAACCUGCCCCUGACUCUGGGAUAAGCGUUGGAAACGACGUCUAAUACUGGAUAUGAUCACUGGCCGCAUGGUCUGGUGGUGGAAAGAUUUUUUGGUUGGGGAUGGACUCGCGGCCUAUCAGCUUGUUGGUGAGGUAAUGGCUCACCAAGGCGACGACGGGUAGCCGGCCUGAGAGGGUGACCGGCCACACUGGGACUGAGACACGGCCCAGACUCCUACGGGAGGCAGCAGUGGGGAAUAUUGCACAAUGGGCGAAAGCCUGAUGCAGCAACGCCGCGUGAGGGAUGACGGCCUUCGGGUUGUAAACCUCUUUUAGUAGGGAAGAAGCGAGAGUGACGGUACCUGCAGAAAAAGCACCGGCUAACUACGUGCCAGCAGCCGCGGUAAUACGUAGGGUGCAAGCGUUGUCCGGAAUUAUUGGGCGUAAAGAGCUCGUAGGCGGUUUGUCGCGUCUGCUGUGAAAUCCCGAGGCUCAACCUCGGGCUUGCAGUGGGUACGGGCAGACUAGAGUGCGGUAGGGGAGAUUGGAAUUCCUGGUGUAGCGGUGGAAUGCGCAGAUAUCAGGAGGAACACCGAUGGCGAAGGCAGAUCUCUGGGCCGUAACUGACGCUGAGGAGCGAAAGCAUGGGGAGCGAACAGGAUUAGAUACCCUGGUAGUCCAUGCCGUAAACGUUGGGCGCUAGAUGUAGGGACCUUUCCACGGUUUCUGUGUCGUAGCUAACGCAUUAAGCGCCCCGCCUGGGGAGUACGGCCGCAAGGCUAAAACUCAAAGGAAUUGACGGGGGCCCGCACAAGCGGCGGAGCAUGCGGAUUAAUUCGAUGCAACGCGAAGAACCUUACCAAGGCUUGACAUACACCGGAAACGGCCAGAGAUGGUCGCCCCCUUGUGGUCGGUGUACAGGUGGUGCAUGGUUGUCGUCAGCUCGUGUCGUGAGAUGUUGGGUUAAGUCCCGCAACGAGCGCAACCCUCGUUCUAUGUUGCCAGCGGGUUAUGCCGGGGACUCAUAGGAGACUGCCGGGGUCAACUCGGAGGAAGGUGGGGAUGACGUCAAAUCAUCAUGCCCCUUAUGUCUUGGGCUUCACGCAUGCUACAAUGGCCGGUACAAAGGGCUGCGAUACCGUAAGGUGGAGCGAAUCCCAAAAAGCCGGUCUCAGUUCGGAUUGAGGUCUGCAACUCGACCUCAUGAAGUCGGAGUCGCUAGUAAUCGCAGAUCAGCAACGCUGCGGUGAAUACGUUCCCGGGCCUUGUACACACCGCCCGUCAAGUCAUGAAAGUCGGUAACACCCGAAG